UACGACAUGGUUCACCCAAAAAUCCCCACCCUCACGCCAAUCACCACCGACGCUGCCAACGCGCCGCGCCGCCGUCGCCCCAUCAUCCCUCCCACUCCACCUCAACCGUCCCCUCCACCGCGCCGGCCAUGCGCUCUUUGCGCAUCCUCUCCACUCCGACGGCUCAGCGGAGCUCGGCGCCGUUCAUCGCCCACUGCCUACCCCUACCCUACCUGUGCAGUGUGCAGGUCGUGCCCGGAAUCCCCGUGUCGCACCCCCUCCCCCUUCCCACAGGCGAUCAAGGAUCAGCCCGACUUCGAUGGGAUCCCUCGACCUCGGUGCCGCCCAGGAAGAUCAUCGUCACUCGCGGCGCCGCACAAGAAGUUCGUCGGGCUUUCUGCUCCUUCCCUGUCGCAUGGGCCUCCUCGCCGGUGAUAUCCUCCCUUCUCACCCUCAGAUGGAAUUUGCUUCUUCCACCCUUCAUGUGAUUGGUGGUCUGCCGACUGCUUCUGACAACUGAGUUGCUCUAUUGGCUUUCGUGAUUACGACUUACCGUCGUGCUGCGCCCUUCAAUUUGUUGGUCUCGCUCGCCAUGGUGUGCAAGAUAUGGUUCCACCGCUGGCCACGCUGGAGACGAGGUCGUUCCUCUUCCCCAUCGGCCACAGCUGGAGCCGACGUCCUCCCCAUCUGCCGCCGCCGACGGAGCUGAGGUCAUCCCCAGCUGCCGCCGCCGCCGCCAAACUCCAGCGCUGCCACAGGUUACGACCAUACUGAAAAACUGAAAAUGUAUGAAAAUUUUCUCCAGUGGUUGAAUUAUCUCCAGCAAAUGUACUUGAAUGUCUCUGGUUAACCUAACUGCCACAGGUUAGAAUCAAUUGAUUUAUGCAUACCUCUGCACAUUGGCUGAAGAUCAUAUUUAUUUUUGAGCAAAUUCUUGCAUCUGAGAUGAAAAUCAGAAUGCAUAUAUGCAUGCACUUUAUGAAAUUUGUGCAGUUUGUGCAUAAGUCAGCGAGGAUUGAUUUUUCUUUCCCUGCAAGAAGAAGAAAGAGUAAUAGGUAAACGGGAGGCAGGGCAAAAAAAAGAUCAUUCUAUAUGCACAAAAUUUGAAGAAGAUCAUUCUAUAUACACAAAGUUUUACUGCUUAGACGUUAUUAGAAAACAUAACUUGGGAAAAAGGAGUAGGCUUGGCAAUUAUGUAUUUCAAUAGUUAUCAGAAAUUUUAAUCGAGGAUAUAUAUAUAUAUAAAAGAAUGAAUGUUCAUCAAAUCAGAGUUGAUGGCUUGACAGGGUCGAGUUAAGUUUAACACAUCCAUGUAUAGAUCAUUCUGCUUGCCACUUUGGAUUGAUGUCGUCUGCACUUUAUAUGACCUUUGGAAUGGUAGUCUGCUUCGGAGACCAGGGAAUGGUACCCAUCUCUCUACUGAAACAAUUUAUGUGACUGUUUUUCAUUCUGUUUGGACCAUACACAACCUUUUCAGUUUAAGUGGAAAAGUAAAUCAAUUACAAUAUUUUGGUCACCUGUGUACAUCUUGAGGUUUAUAUAAGGUCACCAGUUUAUGUCUUGAGAUUUAUAUAGAUUUAGGCCAAUGUGUACAUCUUCAGAUUUGGAGUGAAUAAAACUUUGCAAUAUCCAUGUAUAUGCCUCUCAUCAAAUAAAGCUAUUUGUUUUGUAAGUUACUGAAUACUGAUGGUACAAUUUUAAUUUUUACUCCUUGGUAUGUCCAGUGGUGGCAGCUCGAUGGCUCACAGGAAAAGCAAGGGGAAGAGGAAGGGCGCAAAGAGACAGGGAAAGUGGACUAUGAGCUAUAAUGACAGUGUAUGCACCUUUUUUUCCAUGAAUUACUGACUUAAAUGGACUAAUAGUUGGGUGUCACAUUGUAUAUUACAAUAGAUAUUAUAUAUUAUUUCCUGUGAUAUAUAUUCCAAAACAUGCUCUCAAUCGACUAAUCACAGGCUUGCUCAUAUGAGUCAUUAAAGUUCUGCUAUUUUGAUCUGUUUGAAAUCUACCUCCAUGAGAAUUAUGCUAGCCAUGGGCUAUUGUAUUCCUCCCUGUAAUGCAGUUCUACAAAUAAGAAUAUGAGAAAUUGAUGACAUAUUUAUGUGCAGUGUCCUAUUGUCCUAUAGGGCAUUCAUAUGGAGCUUUGGAAUUUCUGUUAAUGGAGGCAGAGACAAAAAGGAGAAGACUGUUAUAUGAAUUUCUUCCUUGCAUUUUGUUUCUAUGUAGUAGAAUAUGGAAAUAAGAUUCACUUCAAACUUUUCAAUAAUUUAGUACACUUUCCUGCAGGUAAACAUGCAUUCUGAUAGAGCCUAAAGCUGGUGGGACACUUAUUUCCAUCGUCUACAUGAUAAUUUGAUCAUGCACAUGAGUUGUCCUCUUGCUAUGAACAACUGAUAGAGCCCAAGAUAACCACUGAUCAUCUUGACUGAUGAACUACUAAUUUCAAUAUGUAUAUGUAUGCAGGUGGCCACUGAUCGGUGCCCCUUGGCCUAUUGCAGUGGAUAAUGUUGUUGGAAGCUCUACACCAAAUCCAUUUGCAUGAACAGGUGAUGCACACCAAUUCCCCUUGGCCUACCCAGUGACAUGCACUGGAAUCUUAGCAAUUGUCUGAUCCUUAUUAAUUCAAAUGCAUCACUGCGCAUUCUAUAACUCUGUAACAUCAUGACAACUUGGGCUUUGAUGAUUGGGGAGACUGUCAGUAGGAGAAGAAUCACCAUCACCACAAAAUCCACUUUCAUUGCACUCUGGCGUGGACAAUUGUAUAGACAUAUAGCUGCAAGUGAAGGGAAAGAUCAAUUGUUGUACUUUAAAGGCUUCAGAUACAACAAAUCAUUGCCUUAUAAUCUCUUUCGGUGGUGUUCGCAUUUCAAGAAUCAUAUAAAUGUAUUUUAAAUUUUGUAUAAAAAGAUCAGAUUGUAUGAAGAUAACCACUGUGCUAUUAUUAAGGAUGUCAAUUCAAAUCUA